rnacentral:rRNA from 1 species
CUCAUGCACGAAAGCGUGGGGAUCAAACAGGAUUAGAUACCCUGGUAGUCCACGCCGUAAACGAUGAUCACUCGAUGUUGGCGAUACACAGUCAGCGUCUUAGCGAAAGUAUUAAGUGAUCCACCUGGGGAGUACGGUCGCAAGAUUGAAACUCAAAGGAAUUGACGGGGGCCCGCACAAGCGGAGGAGCAUGUGGUUUAAUUCGAUGAUACGCGAGGAACCUUACCUGGGCUCGAACGUGGAAUGACAGUCGCGGAAACGUGAUCUUCUUCGGACAUUCUACGAGGUGCUGCAUGGUUGUCGUCAGCUCGUGCCGUGAGGUGUCGGGUUAAGUCCCAUAACGAGCGCAACCCCUAUCUUUAGUUGCCAUCAGGUAAUGCUGGGGACUCUAAAGAAACUGCCUACGCAAGUAGUGAGGAAGGCGGGGAUGACGUCAAAUCAGCACGGCCCUUACGUCCAGGGCUACACACGUGCUACAAUGGCCGGUACAGAGGGCAGCUACCUGGUGACAGGAUGCAAAUCUCCAAAGCCGGUCUCAGUUCGGAUCGAAGUCUGAAACUCGACUUCGUGAAGUUGGAUUCGCUAGUAAUCGCGCAUCAGCCAUGGCGCGGUGAAUACGUUCCCGGGCCUUGUACACACCGCCCGUCAAGCCAUGGAAGCUUGGGGUACCUGAAGUCCGUGAGCGCAAGCAGCGGCCUAGGGUAAAACAGGUAACUAGGGCUAAGUCGUAACAAGGUAGCCGUACCGGAAGGUGCGGCUG